AAAAGACAAAGUGCACGCGGGGGAUGCCUUGGCAUCCGCCGGCGAUGAAGGACGCGGGAAGCGGCGAAACGCUGAGGCGAGGUGCUCCAACCUUUGACCCUCAGAACUCCGAAUGGGAAAACCCACUUGGUGCUAAGCCAAGUAUCUUAGUCAGUGAUGGCUAAGAAGCCAACCCGGGGAACCGAAACAUCCUAUUACCCGGAGGAAAAGAAAUCAACCGAGAUUCCCUUAGUAGCGGCGAGCGAAGCGGGAAAAGCCCAAACCGUGGAAACGCGGGGUAGGUCGGAAUAAUCCAAACUAUAGUUAUCUUGAAUUUCGCUGGAAAGCGGAGCCAUAGCGGGUGACAGCCCCUUAGAGAAGUUAUAGUUUGUAGUCCGAUUCAAGAGUAGGUCAGGGCACGAGAAACCCGGUCCGAAUACGGGGGGACCACCCUCCAAGGCUAAAUACGAGCGGAUGACCGAUAGUGCAAUAGUACCGUGAGGGAAAGGCGAAAAGAACCCAGAGAUGGGAGUGAAAUAGACCUGAAACCGCGUGCAUACAUUCUGUCGAAGGGGGCAUUUAUGCCCCUGACGGCGUGCCUUUUGUUUAAUGAGCCAGCGAGUUGCUCGUCUGCGGCAAGGCUAAGUGCGACAGGCACGGAGCCGAAGCGAAAGCGAGUCUGAAACGGGCGUUUUCAGUCGCAGACGGCAGACACGAAGCCUUAGUGAUCUAUCCGCGACCAGUCCGAAGCGGGGGUAACACCCCGUGGAGGGACGAACCGAUAUGCAUUGAAACGCGUCCGGAUGAGUUGCGGAUAGGGGUGAAAGGCCAACCAAACUGGGCGAUAGCUUGUUCUCUCCGAAAAAUAUUUAGGUAUUGCGUUGAAUGAACCCUUACGGGGGUAGAGCACCGGAUGGACUAGGGGGCGCACCCGCCUACCAAACCCAACCGAACUCCGAAUACCGUAAGCGGCUAUUCAGCAGGCAGCCCGCGGGCGAUAAGGUCAGCGGACGAAAGGGAAACAACCCGGACCACCGACUAAGCGCCCCUGAGUGCGCGCUAAGUGAGAAAGGAUGUGGCACCGCACAGACAGCCAGGAGGUUGGCUUAGAAGCAGCCAUCCUUUAAAGAAAGCGUAACAGCUCACUGGUCGAUGCGGAGCCGCGCCCAAAAUAAUCGGGGCUAAGCGCGCCGCCGAAGUCGUGGAUUUAUCAGCAAUGAUAAGUGGUAGGAGAGCGUCCCGUAGGUCUGGGAAGGAGGGUGGCGAUGCCCUCUGGAGACAUCGGGAAUGAGAAUGCUGGCAUGAGUAUGCGAAAACGCGGGUGAAAAACCCGCGCACCGAAAGACCAAGGGUUCCCGGGCAAGGUUAAUCCGCCCGGGGUGAGCCGGUCCCUAAGGAAAGGCGGAGACGCGUAUCCGACGGGAAGGGGGUUAAAAUUCCUCCGCAUGUUGAAAAUCGUUAUUGACCGAUGCGGCGACGCGCGGGGCAGGGCGUAGCGGCUGAUGGAUGCCGCAGAAGAGGCGUAAGGCGUGAGGGAGGCAAAUCCCCCUUGCAUAUACCUGAGACCUCCGACCGCAGGAUGGCUUCGGCUUGAUUGUGAGUCGCCCCAGCCCGCGCCGGGAAAACCCGCUAAGGGAGAUUUUCAGUAUUCCGUACCCGAAACCGACACAGGUGGUCAGGGCGAAAAGCCCAAGGUGCUUGAGACAACCCGGGAGAAGGAACUCGGCAAACUAACCCCGUAACUUCGGGAUAAGGGGAGCCCUCCAUUGUGAGUAUGAACAGUACAGAGCAUAAGAGGGUCGCAGAGAAAUGGCAGAAGCGACUGUUUACCAAAAACACAGGGCAAUGCAAACCAGUAAUGGGAAGUAUAUUGUCUGACACGUGCCCGGUGCUGGAAGGUUAACGGGAGGCGUCAGGGGGCAACCCCGAAGCGGCGAACCGAAGCCCCAGUAAACGGCGGCCGUAACUAUAACGGUCCUAAGGUAGCGAAAUUCCUUGUCGGGUAAGUUCCGACCUGCACGAAUCGUGUAACGACUUCUGCGCUGUCUCCUUCCGAGACUCAGCGAAAUUGCAGUGCCGGUGAAGAUGCCGGCAACCCGCACCUGGACGGAAAGACCCCAUGAACCUUCACUGCAUCUUGGCGUUGGCUUUAGGCGCCGCGCGCGUAGGAUAGGCGGGAGACUUUGAUGCUCGGAUUCCGGUUCGAGCGGAGUCGUCGUUGAAAUACCGCCCUUGCGUCGCUUGAAGUCUAACCGCGUAUGGUUAUCCCAUACCGGGACAGUGCCUGGUGGCCAGUUUGACUGGGGCGGUCGCCUCCUAAAAAGUAGCGGAGGCAUCCAAAGGUACUCUCAGUCCGGUCGGCAACCGGACUCACGAGCGCAAAGGCAAAAGAGUGCUUGACUGCGAGACCGACGGGUCGAGCAGAUGCGAAAGCAGGGCUUAGUGAUCCCGCGGCACAGCGUGGAACGGCCGUUGCUCAAUGGAUAAAAGGUACUCUGGGGAUAACAGGCUGAUCUCCCCCAAGCGUCCAUAGCGACGGGGAGGUUUGGCACCUCGAUGUCGGCUCGUCGCAUCCUGGGGCUGGAGAAGGUCCCAAGGGUUUGGCUGUUCGCCAAUUAAAGCGGCACGCGAGCUGGGUUCAGAACGUCGUGAGACAGUUCGGUCCCUAUCCGGUGCGGGCGUUUGAAUGUUUGAGGGAAGUCGUCCUUAGUACGAGAGGACCGGGACGAGGGCUCCUCCGGCGUAUCAGCUGUCACGCCAGUGGCAUGGCUGAGUAACCGCGAGCCCCGAAGAGAAGCGCUGAAAGCAUCUAAGCGCGAAACUUCACCCAAGAUGAGACAUAAGGAGCAGCCGGAGACUACGGCUUGGAUAGGUCGCAGGUGUAAGGGAUGCAAAUCCUUGAGCCGAGCCAUACUAAUCGCUCCUAAUUU
rnacentral:rRNA from 1 species